rnacentral:ribozyme from 1 species
AGAAAAAAAAAAGAAUAGGGAGAAACAACAAGUGCAAACAUAAUUCACAAUGUACCUCCACUCCUACCAAAUACUCUCCCAUUGCUGCUGUUGUUUCCCCUCUUCUAUCUAUUCAAUUAUAUAAGAAAAUAACGAUAAGGGCCACGGCGACGGAUGCUGCUUCAUUAUUAUUCGAAGAAACAGCAGCGCCCGCGAACAAGAGAAUCAAACGCAGUGCAUCAUCGUUUUCGUUAUCAUCACUAUCAUCAUUAUCUACAGGUUCCAUUCAAAGAUUUCAACGUGAAACUGAACUCAAAAUUAAAGUUGAACUCGCAAGGGAACAUGAUUGUGGUAAAGCUGUUGAUAAUAUAGAUAAUAAUAAAA